rnacentral:rRNA from 1 species
CCNAAUUGAUUGAUGGUGCUUGCACNUGAUUGNUUUNGGNYGCCAACGAGUGGCGGACGGGUGAGUAAYNCGUAGGURACCUGCCCAGAAGCGGGGGACAACAUUUGGAAACAGAUGCUAAUACCGCAUAAYARCGUUGUUCGCAUGAACAACGCUUAAAAGAUGGCUUCUCGCUAUCACUUCUGGAUGGACCUGCGGUGCAUUAGCUUGUUGGUGGGGUAACGGCCUACCAAGGCGAUGAUGCAUAGCCGAGUUGAGAGACUGAUCGGCCACAAUGGGACUGAGACACGGCCCAUACUCCUACGGGAGGCAGCAGUAGGGAAUCUUCCACAAUGGGCGCAAGCCUGAUGGAGCAACACCGCGUGAGUGAAGAAGGGUUUCGGCUCGUAAAGCUCUGUUGUUAAAGAAGAACACGUAUGAGAGUAACUGUUCAUACGUUGACGGUAUUUAACCAGAAAGUCACGGCUAACUACGUGCCAGCAGCCGCGGUAAUACGUAGGUGGCAAGCGUUAUCCGGAUUUAUUGGGCGUAAAGAGAGUGCAGGCGGUUUUCUAAGUCUGAUGUGAAAGCCUUCGGCUUAACCGGAGAAGUGCAUCGGAAACUGGAUAACUUGAGUGCAGAAGAGGGUAGUGGAACUCCAUGUGUAGCGGUGGAAUGCGUAGAUAUAUGGAAGAACACCAGUGGCGAAGGCGGCUACCUGGUCUGCAACUGACGCUGAGACUCGAAAGCAUGGGUAGCGAACAGGAUUAGAUACCCUGGUAGUCCAUGCCGUAAACGAUGAGUGCUAGGUGUUGGAGGGUUUCCGCCCUUCAGUGCCGGAGCUAACGCAUUAAGCACUCCGCCUGGGGAGUACGACCGCAAGGUUGAAACUCAAAGGAAUUGACGGGGGCCCGCACAAGCGGUGGAGCAUGUGGUUUAAUUCGAAGCUACGCGAAGAACCUUACCAGGUCUUGACAUCUUGCGCCAACCCUAGAGAUAGGGCGUUUCCUUCGGGAACGCAAUGACAGGUGGUGCAUGGUCGUCGUCAGCUCGUGUCGUGAGAUGUUGGGUUAAGUCCCGCAACGAGCGCAACCCUUGUUACUAGUUGCCAGCAUUAAGUUGGGCACUCUAGUGAGACUGCCGGUGACAAACCGGAGGAAGGUGGGGACGACGUCAGAUCAUCAUGCCCCUUAUGACCUGGGCUACACACGUGCUACAAUGGACGGUACAACGAGUCGCGAACUCGCGAGGGCAAGCAAAUCUCUUAAAACCGUUCUCAGUUCGGACUGCAGGCUGCAACUCGCCUGCACGAAGUCGGAAUCGCUAGUAAUCGCGGAUCAGCAUGCCGCGGUGAAUACGUUCCCGGGCCUUGUACACACNGCCCGUYNCNCNRNGAGAGUUUGUAACACCCAAAGUCGGURGGGU